rnacentral:lncRNA from 1 species
AUGGCAGGUUGCUGUGGUUACUGCAGAACCACUGAGGCUCUGCUGAGGAGGGACUGGCAAAAAGGCAGAGGAGCAGUGCCUGUAGGAACUUGCUGGAUGACUCUCUCCAGGAAAGAUAGCUUGAUGUAUCGUCCUGGCCUCCUGCCACUUCUCCUUGCAUGUACUCACACACAUCUCAGGAGCUCGUGUGCCAAACUGGUGAAUGUGCUCGAGGAGUGGAGCAGAACGGAGGUACCUAAAGAGAGCAAUCAGGCCAGUAGUGUCCUCGGCACUAUGACCUGUUCCUGGAGAAGGAAGCUUAUCUAUUUCCUAGGGAAGAAACGUUCGUGUAAGAAUAAAAUUACUGUUCAAUUUAUGUUUUCUGCAGAUUUGCUUCCUUGUCAGACUGAAAAGAGACAACAGACCGGGUUUGGUGUGGAGGUUACAGCUCCGUCGCUGGCUGUGGGACAGCAGUUACGUGCGGUGCUGUGCAGGAGCACAAACUCGAGCCCUUGGGUAGCUGGGUGCUGUCAGCUCAGCAUCACACCCUGCUGA